rnacentral:rRNA from 1 species
UACGUAGGGUGCGAGCGUUGUCCGGAAUUAUUGGGCGUAAAGAGCUCGUAGGCGGCUUGUCGCGUCGGAUGUGAAAGCCCGGGGCUUAACUCCGGGUCUGCAUUCGAUACGGGCAGGCUAGAGUUCGGUAGGGGAGAUCGGAAUUCCUGGUGUAGCGGUGAAAUGCGCAGAUAUCAGGAGGAACACCGAUGGCGAAGGCAGGUCUCUGGGCCAUUACUGACGCUGAGGAGCGAAAGCGUGGGGAGCGAACAGG